rnacentral:rRNA from 1 species
UAAUUGAAGAGUUUGAUCAUGGCUCAGAUUGAACGCUGGCGGCAGGCCUAACACAUGCAAGUCGGGCGGUAACAGGGGGAAGCUUGCUUCUCUGCUGACGAGCGGCGGACGGGUGAGUAAUGUAUGGGGAUCUGCCUGAUGGCGGGGGAUAACUACUGGAAACGGUAGCUAAUACCGCAUAAUGUCUUCGGACCAAAGCGGGGGACCUCCGGGCCUCGCGCCAUCAGAUGAACCCAUAUGGGAUUAGCUAGUAGGU